rnacentral:lncRNA from 1 species
CCCUUUUAAUGCACUUAUUAUAGAAGGGAGUAUCAACCAAAAUAUCUGGAGCUUUAUUGGAUAAGUAGAAUAAGACAUAAUGGCAAUCGAUAUUUUUGGGUAUUCCCUCCUAGUGUAGGAGUAGAUCAUUUUAUAAGUGGAUGUGGAAUGUAUAUGGGUGGAUGAAGGAAUGGGUACUCCUAGGGUAGGAGCAUCAUAAAUGCGUAUAUGUGGGUGGUAC